CGGAUGGAUCAGGUAGCCACUCCGAAGCGCUUUGCUUCGGGGAGGAAAGUCCGAACAUCAAAGGGCAGGAUUCUCUGAGAAAUCAGAGGGGGCGCUGCAAGGCGUCUACGGAAAGUGUCACAGAAAACAUACCACCCCGAUUACGGGGCAAGGGUGAAAAGGUGAGGUAAGAGCUCACCACUCCGUUCCGCAACGGAACUGCCUUGGGGUAGAAAAUUUCGGAGGUAGGAAAAACCCAAUCUGAUGCAAGACCAAAUAUAGAAGGAUCCCGCUAUUGCGGGGGCGUAUCGCCCGGUACGCGUUCCGAAAUCCGGAACACACUUCAGGGUAGGUCGCUUAAGCUUGCCGGCAACGGUAAGUUAAGAUAAAUGGCUGCCGUCCCGUUUUUGCGGGAUACAGAAUUCGGCUUAUAGAUUCAUCCGGAUC
rnacentral:RNase_P_RNA from 1 species